CCUUGCAGUCGAGCGGUAGAGAGAAGCUUGCUUCUCUUGAGAGCGGCGGACGGGUGAGUAAUGCCUAGGAAUCUGCCUGGUAGUGGGGGAUAACGUUCGGAAACGGACGCUAAUACCGCAUACGUCCUACGGGAGAAAGCAGGGGACCUUCGGGCCUUGCGCUAUCAGAUGAGCCUAGGUCGGAUUAGCUAGUUGGUGAGGUAAUGGCUCACCAAGGCGACGAUCCGUAACUGGUCUGAGAGGAUGAUCAGUCACACUGGAACUGAGACACGGUCCAGACUCCUACGGGAGGCAGCAGUGGGGAAUAUUGGACAAUGGGCGAAAGCCUGAUCCAGCCAUGCCGCGUGUGUGAAGAAGGUCUUCGGAUUGUAAAGCACUUUAAGUUGGGAGGAAGGGCAGUUACCUAAUACGUGAUUGUUUUGACGUUACCGACAGAAUAAGCACCGGCUAACUCUGUGCCAGCAGCCGCGGUAAUACAGAGGGUGCAAGCGUUAAUCGGAAUUACUGGGCGUAAAGCGCGCGUAGGUGGUUUGUUAAGUUGGAUGUGAAAUCCCCGGGCUCAACCUGGGAACUGCAUUCAAAACUGACUGACUAGAGUAUGGUAGAGGGUGGUGGAAUUUCCUGUGUAGCGGUGAAAUGCGUAGAUAUAGGAAGGAACACCAGUGGCGAAGGCGACCACCUGGACUGAUACUGACACUGAGGUGCGAAAGCGUGGGGAGCAAACAGGAUUAGAUACCCUGGUAGUCCACGCCGUAAACGAUGUCAACUAGCCGUUGGGAGCCUUGAGCUCUUAGUGGCGCAGCUAACGCAUUAAGUUGACCGCCUGGGGAGUACGGCCGCAAGGUUAAAACUCAAAUGAAUUGACGGGGGCCCGCACAAGCGGGGGAGCAUGUGGUUUAAUUCGAAGCAACGCAAAAAAACUUACCCGGCCUUGGCCUCCAAUGAAAUUUCUAGAGAUAAAUUGGGCCUUCG
rnacentral:rRNA from 1 species